rnacentral:misc_RNA from 1 species
AGGAGCCUACUCGUCUGGGUUGGUGAGAAAAGAGAAACGGGUUUGUAGCUCGGCAGGUUAGAGCAACGCUUGAUAAGCGUGGGGUCGCUGGUUCAAGUCCAGCCAGACCCACCAAUAAGGGGGAUUAGCUCAGCUGGGAGAGCACCUGCUUUGCAAGCAGGGGGUCGUCGGUUCGAACCCGUCAUCCUCCACCAAAGAUCUAUAACAAAUAGGAAUGAUGAGAAAGAGAAACCCGAAAGGGAAGAUUGUAUAAAAGCAAAAGACAACUAAAGAAAUAGAGUCAAGUGAAUAAGUGCAUGAGGUGGAAGCCUUGGCA